rnacentral:misc_RNA from 1 species
GGCUUGUGAAGUAGCUGUCAGAUUAAACUUUAUUGAUAAGCUUAUUUCAAAAGGUGGAAAAUCUCGCGGUGUUGCAGAAAGAAAGGAUUCUUUUGAAGAUGGUAAAGUCCAUUUCAAUGGAGAAGAGAUUGAUGUGGAGGACACUUCAGCCGUUCAGAAACUGCAAGAGGAGAUCUAUAAGCAGUCAUUCAGGUCAUAUUACCAGGCAUGCCAAACUCUUGUGCAAUCACAAGGAUCAGGGGCCUGUAGUGAAGGGUUCCAAGGGGGUUUCAAGCCUAGCACUGCCAGGAGUUCUCUCUUUUCGGUUUCUGCUACUGAGUUGGAUGUAAGUUUGACAAGAAUUGAAGGAGGUGAUUCUGGGAUGAUAGAGAUUCUGCAAAAGCUUGAUCCAGUAUGUCGUGCACAUAGCGUCCCAUUUUCACGAUUAUAUGGUAGUAAUAUCAAUUUGCAGACGGGUUCCCUUGUUGUUCGGAUAAGAAAUUAUACAUAUCCACUUCUUGCUGCAACUUCGGGAAGAUGUGAAGGACGUGUUAUACUGGCUCAGCAGGCAACUUGUUUUCAGCCCCAAAUCCACCAAA